rnacentral:lncRNA from 1 species
CUCUGUACCGGCGAGAAAGGCGUCGGCCGCAGCGGUAAGCCCCUCCACUACAAAGGCUCCUCUUUCCAUCGUGUGAUCCCUAACUUUAUGUGCCAAGGAGGUGACUUCACCGCCGGAAACGGUACCGGAGGUGAAUCCAUCUACGGAUCCAAGUUCGCUGACGAGAACUUCAUCAAGAAGCACACUGGUCCCGGUAUUCUCUCAAUGGCUAACGCUGGUCCCGGAACUAACGG